AUUUCCCCAGUUUUUCUCCCCAAAACGGCCGUGGUGGCGCGGGGGUUUUUGGGGAGGUGGGGGCUGUGUUGUGUUGUAUUGUUUUUUUGUUUCCCCCCCCCUCCCCGCUCUCCGUUGAGGCAGCGCCGCAGCGACGUAAAACGGCCUCAAAUUGGGCCCAAAGAGAGGAACGUUGCUAAAAAAAAUGACUAAAAAUUAGAAAAGCAAUUACAAAAACCCCCAAAAAAGAGCACAAAACCCUUUAAAAAAGAGGCAGGAAAAAUCCAAGUGAGCGGAGUAAGUACCCGCGGCGCGGUCACGGCGGCCCCAAACCCCGCUUCGGCAGCUCGGUGCGCGCCGGGGAUGCGAGCCUGACCCCAAAUGCUGCUUCCUGGGUCCUUUUUCUUCGUCGUCUUUUUUUUGCUCCGGUCCCAAAAAGCCGCUUUCUGAGCCCGUUCUGUGCUGGGGCAGCAUGGCGCUCCCAAAAUGAUGCACCCAAAAUGACGCUUUCUGUGCCUGUUUUGCCGCGCGCUGACCCCCAAAACACCCAUUUCUGAGCCCGCUUCACGCUGGCGCCACGGGGCUGACCCAAAAUUCCCCUUUCUGAGCCCAUUUCGGGUGCGUGGCUGACCCAAAAUCCCCCUUUCUGAGCCCAUUUCGGAUGCGUGGCUGACCCAAAAUCCCCCUUUCUGAGCCCAUUUCGGGUGCGUGGCUGACCCAAAAUCCCCCUUUCUGAGCCCAUUUCGGGUGCGUGGCUGACCCAAAAUCCCCCUUUCUGAGCUCAUUUCUGAUGCGUGGCUGACCCAAAAUCCCCCUUUCUGAGCCCAUUUCGGAUGCGUGGCUGACCCAAAAUCCCCAUUUCAGAUGCGUGGCUGACCCAAAAUCCCCCUUUCUGAGCCCAUUUCUGAUGCGUGGCUGACC